UACUAUAGCUUGACACUGAACAUUGAGCCUUGAUGUGUAGGAUAGGUGGGAGGCUUUGAAGUGUGGACGCCAGUCUGCAUGGAGCCGACCUUGAAAUACCACCCUUUAAUGUUUGAUGUUCUAACGUUGACCCGUAAUCCGGGUUGCGGACAGUGUCUGGUGGGUAGUUUGACUGGGGCGGUCUCCUCCUAAAGAGUAACGGAGGAGCACGAAGGUUGGCUAAUCCUGGUCGGACAUCAGGAGGUUAGUGCAAUGGCAUAAGCCAGCUUGACUGCGAGCGUGACGGCGCGAGCAGGUGCGAAAGCAGGUCAUAGUGAUCCGGUGGUUCUGAAUGGAAGGGCCAUCGCUCAACGGAUAAAAGGUACUCCGGGGAUAACAGGCUGAUACCGCCCAAGAGUUCAUAUCGACGGCGGUGUUUGGCACCUCGAUGUCGGCUCAUCACAUCCUGGGGCUGAAGUAGGUCCCAAGGGUAUGGCUGUUCGCCAUUUAAAGUGGUACGCGAGCUGGGUUUAGAACGUCGUGAGACAGUUCGGUCCCUAUCUGCCGUGGGCGCUGGAGAACUGAGGGGGGCUGCUCCUAGUACGAGAGGACCGGAGUGGACGCAUCACUGGUGUUCGGGUUGUCAUGCCAAUGGCACUGCCCGGUAGCUAAAUGCGGAAGAGAUAAGUGCUGAAAGCAUCUAAGCACGAAACUUGCCCCGAGAUGAGUUCUCCCUGACUCCUUGAGAGUCCUGAAGGAACGUUGAAGACGACGACGUUGAUAGGCCGGGUGUGUAAGCGCAGCGAUGCGUUGAGCUAACCGGUACUAAUGAACCGUGAGGCUUAACCUUACAACGCCGAAGCUGUU
rnacentral:rRNA from 1 species